rnacentral:rRNA from 1 species
AAACAUAGCCUUUAGCAAACCUAGUAUUAAAGGUAACGCCUGCCCAGUGAAACUUAAACGGCCGCGGUAUCCUAACCGUGCAAAGGUAGCGUAAUCACCUGUCUUAUAAAUAAAGACCUGUAUGAACGGCUAAAUGAAUAUUUAACUGUCUCCUUUAACCUAUCAGUGAAACUGAUCUUUCAGUACAAAAGCUGAAAUAUUACUAUAAGACGAGAAGACCCUGUGGAGCUUUUAAAUUUUUUUUUCAUAACAUUUAUAUUUAACCCUAUGUUUCUGAUCAUAAAUUUUUGAGUUUGGGGCGACUUUUGGAGUAAAACAAAACCUCCAAGAAUAGGGUUUUUACCCCUACCCUCGGCCAACCAGCCUAAAAUAUAGACCCAGUACUACUGACCAACGAACCAAGUUACCCCAGGGAUAACAGCGCCAUCUUCUUCAAGAGUUCAUAUCGACAAGAAGGUUUACGACCUCGAUGUUGGAUCAGGACACCCAAAUGGUGUAGCCGCUAUUAAAGGUUCGUUUUGUUCAACGAUUAACAGUCCUAC